ACGGGCAAAGCUCUGGGAAGGAAGAAAAGAGGCAGGUAAAGAUUAAAUGCUGUUGGUUACCAGUGAAAACAAUUCUUUGUAGGACUGGUGCUUUUUUGCAAACAAACGGCGGAAUGAGCAGAUGUUUACACUUUUACCCGUGUUUUUGAUGUGCUGGCACCAAGAUCCCUUUUUUGCUUAGAAAGUGUGUGAAGUUUGCAAGGCGAGUAAUUGGACGCUGAGUCACUGAUUGGUCAAACAUUGACGCGAUCAUCAAUGGUCAAUGAACGUCGUAACCAACCAUUUA